rnacentral:rRNA from 1 species
CCUACGGGUGGCAGCAGUGGGGAAUAUUGCACAAUGGGCGCAAGCCUGAUGCAGCCAUGCCGCGCGUAUGAAGAGGGCCUUCGGGUUGUAAAGUACUUUCAGCGGGGAGGAAGGCGAUAAGGUUAAUAACCUUGUCGAUUGACGUUACCCGCAGAAGAAGCACCGGCUAACUCCGUGCCAGCAGCCGCGGUAAUACGGAGGGUGCAAGCGUUAAUCGGAAUUACUGGGCGUAAAGCGCAUGCAGGCGGCCUGUUAAGUCAGAUGUGAAAGCCCGGGGCUUAACCUCGGAAUUGCAUUUGAAACUGGCAGGCUAGAGUCUUGUAGAGGGGGGUAGAAUUUCAGGUGUAGCGGUGAAAUGCGUAGAGAUCUGAAGGAAUACCAGUGGCGAAGGCGGCCCCCUGGACAAAGACUGACGCUCAGGUGCGAAAGCGCGGGGAGCAAACAGGAUUAGAUACCCGCGUAGUC